UACGGGGGGGGCAAGCGUUGUUCGGAAUUACUGGGCGUAAAGGGCUCGUAGGUGGCCUACUAAGUCAGACGUGAAAUCCCUCGGCUUAACCGGGGAACUGCGUCCGAUACUGGAUGGCUUGAGUUCGGGAGAGGGAUGCGGAAUUCCAGGUGUAGCGGUGAAAUGCGUAGAUAUCUGGAGGAACACCGGUGGCGAAGGCGGCAUCCUGGACCGACACUGACACUGAGGAGCGAAAGCCAGGGGAGCAAACGGG
rnacentral:rRNA from 1 species